CAUAUUCUCCUGCUGGUUCCACAAACUGCAGCGCAGACGAGCCUCAACCGCAAAACAACAAACACUCAUUCAGGUUUUACUCACUCUCACUGGACUGAUUACUACAUUUCAAACAUUUUGAUCUCUGUCAGCUAAACUAACUGGCUACAGGAUGAACUGCUGACUAGCUUCUUAGCUAACUGCUGCUAAAACCUCAAUGUCUCCUUUUUUACAUCUAUGAUUCUACACCAGAUCAAUUAACAACACACAACAUGUGAAGACUAAACGCAGGAUCUCUCUCUGCACUGGACACAGAGAUGAACGUGACUUAUAAUAAUCUUUAUUUUUCUUCCAUCUGAAAUAUUUGGAGAAGAUAGAACAAGAUGAUUUAAAUAUUUGAAUCUCACACUGAAUUAUCAAGAUUCAAAUCAGCAAAUAGUCUAAGUAUAUGUCUUACAACCAAACCAACCACAGACCAACUGGUAAUAAAAGAUUAGACUGGAUCAUCUUGAUUUCAUCCUGUCAAAACUUUGGACGUUUGACCGUAAACUCAAACAAUUUAACAAUCUGUGUUUAUUUCUUAUGUAAGUUAAUAAUAAAAUAAAAGUUUACCUUUA